ACGUGAGGCAGCAGUGGGGAAUAUUGGGCAAUGGGCGCAAGCCUGACCCAGCGACGCCGCGUGAGGGAAGAAGGUCUUCGGAUUGUAAACCUCUUUCAGCAGGGAAGACCAAGAGACGGUACCUGCAGAAGAAGUCACGGCUAACUACGUGCCAGCAGCCGCGUUAAUACGUAGGUGGCGAGCGUUAUCCGGAAUUACUGGGUGUAAAGGGUGUGUAGGCGGAGAGGCAAGUCAGGCGUGAAAUACUCGGGCUCAACCCGGGAACUGCGCUUGAAACUGUUUCGCUUGAGAGUGGGAGAGGUUAACGGAAUUCCUGGUGUAGGAGUGAAAUGCGUAGAUAUCAGGAGGAACACCGGUGGCGAAGGCGGUUAACUGGACCACAAAUGACGCUGAGACACGAAAGCGUGGGGAGCAAACAGGAUUAGAUACCCUGGUA
rnacentral:rRNA from 1 species